rnacentral:lncRNA from 1 species
AAAAUGUUUGUGGGUUGGUUGCUUUUAGACGCAUGACGUCCAAGUCGCAUUCUCGUAUUAAACGCUGCUUGUAUGCUCGCACUUUGGAGGCUUAAGCGUGGUUUGUAUUACGGAGAAUGGACGAAAACGUCACCCGUUUUGUGAAAAGGGUUUUACUUUUACUGCGCGCGAGGGCAGUGAAAAAGGUUUGAGUGUGUUGAGUUGAUUUUAUGAAUUUUUGUGAAAAUGUUUGAGAAUGAGGAUGGUCCGAGACACGAGUCAUACGUCAGGGCCUCGGAACCAUUCGGGUAGAGAAAGUCAUACGUCAGUCCCUUCCUUUUUCAUCCUUUUAAUCUUAAGUCG